rnacentral:lncRNA from 1 species
UUGAAGGGCACCCUGGUGGUUCUGAACACCCACAGUGUCCUGCUGAACCAAACUGUGAAAUCCGUGAAACAGUUAUUCUCAGUUAUACAGAAUGAUGUUGCCCAAACUCAGCUGGUCACCGCACUGAUGUCUGACAUGCUCCGUGAGGUGACCUCCUCCAUUGACAGCCUAGCCAUGGGUAGAAUUCCUCCGUAUCUGGUGCCCCUGAGCCUAGUACAAACAGUGUUAUCCUCUGUAACUACCCGUCCAGCUGACCCUCUUCAAGCCCACCUUGCCUACUCCCUGGGAGGGUCCAUCCUGCUACAUGUUGACCCCGAGCAGAGCGAGAUGGCGUUCCUUCUGAAUCUACCCAUCAUUGAAUCCGACAACAUUUACAGACUCAAAGACAUUGUCAAUGUCGGAUUUUGGCAGGGAAACACUCACAUCAGAAUACACACACCAGAUAUGGUAGCCUACCACGACGAUAACCCACAGUUAUACUUGGCCCCAAACCUGCGCAUGUGUACCCUGACCAAAGACAUUCAUUAUCUCUGCCCCAGCAAGCCCUUCCUUCGAGACAACACUGAAGGAAUCUGCGGGUUACAACCCAUGCAAAGAGAGACACUCUGCCCCGCUGAGGCCAAGCCUCGCUCACAAGUCACAAAAACACAAGCAGAGAUUGUGGCAAAUCGGUGGCUCGUCAACACGCCCACCCGUACCGCCACACUGACCUAUGACCAGCACGACACCGCCACCCGUGUCAGCCUGCCCAACCAGAGUAUGUGGAUUCAAGUGCCCAAAGGUGCCAUCCUCCACCUCGGUGACCUGGCGCUGUACCACCUUCCAAGUGAAGAGUACCAAUCCGAGGUAGAAAUGCCAGCCUUCUUCAGGGACCACAAUCUCACCCUGGAACCUGAAGGGGAACUGAGCAUUGAGAAAGGGGGACCCCAGACGAUUGACAUCACCCCAAUCGACACAGCCCUCCAAGCACUGUCCCGGAUGCCUGUCCAGAACACCUUUCCCGUCGCUCGAUCCUGG